rnacentral:rRNA from 1 species
AUCUGCCUUUUGGUUUGGAAUAACACGGGGAAACUUGUGCUAAUACCGAAUAAGCCUUUACAGGGAAAGUUUUAACGCCGAAAGAUGAGCCUGCACUUGAUUAGCUAGUUGGUAAGGUAAAAGCUUACCAAGGCAACGAUCAAUAGCUGUUCUUAGAGGAAGACCAGCCACAUUGGGACUGAGACACGGCCCAGACUCCUACGGGAGGCAGCAGUGGGGAAUCUUGCACAAUGGGGGAAACCCUGAUGCAGCGAUGCCGCGUGAGUGAAGAAGGCCUUUGGGUUGUAAAACUCUUUCGUCGGGGAAGAAAAUGACUGUACCCGAAUAAGAAGGUCCGGCUAACUUCGUGCCAGCAGCCGCGGUAAUACGAAGGGACCUAGCGUAGUUCGGAAUUACUGGGCUUAAAGAGCUCGUAGGUGGUUAAAAAAGUUGAUGGUGAAAUCCCAAGGCUCAACCUUGGAACUGCCAUCAAAACUUUUUAGCUAGAGUGUGAUAGAGGUAAGUGGAAUUUCUAGUGUAGAGGUGAAAUUCGUAGAUAUUAGAAAGAACACCAAAUGCGAAGGCAACUUACUGGGUCACUACUGACACUGAGGAGCGAAAGCAUGGGUAGCGAAGAGGAUUAGAUACCCUCGUAGUCCAUGCCGUAAACGAUGUGUGCUAGACGUUGGAAAUAUAUUUUUCAGUGUCGCAGCGAAAGCAUUAAGCACACC